UACGGAGGAUCCAAGCGUUAUCCGGAUUUAUUGGGUUUAAAGGGUGCGUAGGCGGCCUAUUAAGUCAGGGGUGAAAGACGGUAGCUUAACUAUCGCAGUGCCUUUGAUACUGAUGGGCUUGAAUGAACUAGAGGUAGGCGGAAUGUGACAAGUAGCGGUGAAAUGCAUAGAUAUGUCACAGAACACCAAUUGCGAAGGCAGCUUACUACACAACAAUUGACGCUGAGGCACGAAAGCGUGGGGAUCAAACAGG
rnacentral:rRNA from 1 species